rnacentral:rRNA from 1 species
CAGUCGCCGCGGUAAUACGUAGGUGGCAAGCGUUGUCCGGAAUUAUUGGGCGUAAAGGGCUCGCAGACGGUUUCUUAAGUCUGAUGUGAAAGCCCCCGGCUCAACCGGGGAGGGUCAUUGGAAACUGGGAAACUUGAGUGCAGAAGAGGAGAGUGGAAUUCCACGUGUAGCGGUGAAAUGCGUAGAGAUGUGGAGGAACACCAAUGGCGAAGGCGACUCUCUGGUCUGUAACUGACGCUGAGGAGCGAAAGCGUGGGGAGCGAACAGGAUUAGAUACCCCUGUAGUCCCUGUCUCUUAUAC